UUGUCCAAUAAGGGCUACUGUCCAUCGACUUUGGGUGGAUCAUGGAAAUUGAAGAAUUGUGUUUUCACCAGUACACUUGCCAUCACAGCAGGUAAUUGUCCAAUAAGGGCUACUGUCCAUCGACUUUGGGUGGAUCAUGGAGAUUGAAGAAUUGUGUUUUCACCAGUACACUUGCCAUCACAGCAGGUAAUUGUCCAAUAAGGGCUACUGUCCAUCGACUUUGGGUGGAUCAUGGAGAUUGAAGAAUUGUGUUUUCACCAGUACACUUGCCAUCACAGCAGGUAAUUGUCCAAUAAGGGCUACUGUCCAUCGACUUUGGGUGGAUCAUGGAGAUUGAAGAAUUGUGUUUUCACCAGUACACUUGCCAUCACAGCAGGUAAUUGUCCAAUAAGGGCUACUGUCCAUCGACUUUGGGUGGAUCAUGGAGAUUGAAGAAAUGUGUUUUCACCAGUACACUUGCCAUCACAGCAGGUAAGAU